CGGACGGGUUAGUAAUGCCUAGGAAUCUGCCUGGUAGUGGGGGACAACGUUUCGAAAGGAACGCUAAUACCGCAUACGUCCUACGGGAGAAAGUGGGGGAUCUUCGGACCUCACGCUAUCAGAUGAGCCUAGGUCGGAUUAGCUAGUUGGUGGGGUAACGGCUCACCAAGGCGACGAUCCGUAACUGGUCUGAGAGGAUGAUCAGUCACACUGGAACUGAGACAUGGUCCAG
rnacentral:rRNA from 1 species